rnacentral:rRNA from 1 species
UACGAAGGGGACUAGCGUUGUUCGGAAUUACUGGGCGUAAAGCGCGUGUUAGGCGGUUCGUAAAGUCGGGUGUGAAAGCCCCGGGCUCAACCUGGGAAUUGCAUUCGAGACUGAAUAGCUAGGGUACGGUAGAGGGAAGCGGAAUUUUCCGGUGUAGCGGUGAAAUGCGUAGAUAUCGGAAGGAACAUCAGUGGCGAAAGCGGCUUCCUGGACCAGUACCGACGUCAGGCACGAAAGCGUGGGGAGCAAACAGG